rnacentral:snoRNA from 1 species
GGCCUCCUGGUGCUUACCACAGGCUGUGUUCUUACACUGACUGCAUAAAAAGAGGAGACAAAGUAAACCUACUCCAUAUACACCUCGGCCCAGACCCUGUGCCUGUUCUGUACUGUGAACGGGGAGACAAGG